CCUGGCCUCUGAAAUGCCACUCACAGGUUGGGAGUCAAGCGUUGCCACUCCGUGAGUCCCCUUGCUCAGGAUCCUGUUAUGUUUGGAAGCUAAAUAGACUCUGGCAGUUGACUUUUUGGCAACAACUUGAAAACUGAGUGACGACAGACAUACGACGCUGCAGGAGCUGCUUCUACUUGAGAUGUGCAGUUAUCUAUCUACAUGAAAGAACCUUUUCUUUUUUUUUGUUUUGCUGACACCUUCCUGCUGGGAGCUGAACACUGCUUGAAUCAUCCAUCCAGGGCAAUUUGCUAAUAAAAGUAAGGAAUUGCCUUCUGAAUCUCUCUGUUGGCACGAAUGUGACACGAGGAGUGGAGAUGGACUCAUCAGAGGCGGGCCGGGAGCCUGUCAGGGAGUAACCUGGGCAUGUCCUCCUGUCACCUCCCCUCCGAGCCCCGUGGAGCAGGGCAAGCCUAGUAGGUGCUUGCUGUCAGGCUUCAGGCUAUAAAUGUGUCCCCUUCCUACUUCUCAGCAUAUGUACAGAGCCAAACUCCCCAAGUGUAAGACCUUCUGCAUCUGGCCUAGCUCUAAUUUUAUUGAAAAACAAGGAAAAGUAGACUAAAAAACCCUCCAUGGCGCUGCAAUGACCAGCCCCUCAUUGGUUAUAAUGGGUGGUGUCCCCUCCAGCCCUGGCCCUGCCAGCUCUUCCCCCUACUGUUGUCUGCUCAGUGCUUGUUUAGUGAUCUCUGGGGUCUGCCUUUGGAUGUUGCAUUCACCCCAAACCUUUCUGGUUCAAGUAGCACAGCACAGGCGGGGGGUGGCGGGGGGAGGUGCAAGGCAGCUGGAUGCGAAGCCAGUCGCAUCCCUCCCUUGGGCACCCUUUGGUACAGACACCAGUGUGCCUUCACCAUGCCAGCUGGAUGGUCUGCUGGGUGAAGGCAGUGUCCUCCACCUGAUCUUGCCCAUAACCAGGGGAAGGAGGUAACUGUUAUGCCAUUCCUUUCCUGCUUCUCCAUAUGCAUCCUUGUUCCAGCUGGCUGGUAUCAUGGAGAAGAGCCAAGAUCUCACCCUUUUCCCUAAUCUCUGCCUACCCAGAUGUGGGGGCAGCAGCCCCACAGAGGUUGUCCUUCCAUCUCUACACCCUGUUUUGUAUAUGGGGAGAUGGGGGAAGGUAAUCGUCUUGCCUCUAAUUGGAAACUGAUUGGCUCCUGCUGUGUCCUGCAUGGCAAUGAAUCCCUAACCAGGCCUAGUGAAGGGCUGGGAUAAGGUGCAGAAGGCUUGCCCUAGUCUAUGUGCUCUAUAACUCAAAGCACUAAGAAAAACCUUGCUGUCAGGUAUCGAUUCCAACGGCUCUUCUUCCAGGCUGGGUUGUGGCACGAUGCUCUGUGCCUGGGAGCUCAAGUGGAGGACAUGUCGCAUCUCCGGUGUGAGUAGGCAGAUCGCAGGUCUGCACAGCUGCUCCGGGUCCUUGUGAUGCGUUGACCGAUAGAGUCUUUUUGUGAGUUAUGCCACUGCUGCCAGCGUGAGAUUCCUGUGUGCUGUAUGCUCCCUCCCUGGCUGGUUCAGGUACAUCCCAUGUCUUCAUUGCUUAUGGUUUGUGUUAUGAUGAGCCCUGUAAAAUGAGUGGCGUGGUCUUCCCUGCGUUCUCUCUGCAUUUUGACAGAUCUGCCUUCCUCCAAGGCUGCAGACCACAGGAGUCUGAUGCUGCUUCCUGACACCCGCACCUCUCUCCCACCUGUUGACCACCUCAAUGUACAUUUUCACCGACUGGCUUUCUUGCAUAAGUACUGGCCUCUGGCUGCUUUACUUCUGCAUCCAGGAAGA